CUUAUAAAAUCAAAAACCCUAAAUUCCACUCAUUCCUUUCAGCCGUUUUCUCACUUUCUGCCAUAUUCUCUUUCUUUCUCUUAUAUUUUCUCUCUCUUCAAUCCCUAAAAUCCUCUCCAUUGUAAUUCAAACCCUAAAAUCCUCUUCUAUCCUUGAAUUCUUUACAUCAUUUUAUUCGCUGAUAAUAUUCUUUUUGUUAGAAGUUGUUUACUAGUUUGAUAAAUUCUACAUGUUAAUUCACACUUCUUUCUCUUUCCUUAGAUAUUUUAUUUUCCUUAGAUAUUUUAUUUUCAUCUUCAAAUUUCAGAAUUUUAGAUCUUCCUCUCCUAAGUCCAAAAGUUAAUUUUCAUCCUCAAACUUCAGAUCUUCCUCUCCUAAAGUUAAAUACAUAAAUAUCAUCUUAAAAGUUAAGAUCUGUAUCUCCUAAAGCAAUUAUUCAACAACUUUUCGGAAGAGGACUAGUGGAGGAGAUUGAUUCUACAAGGGAGGACAAAGGAAAGGGUAAAAACCAUGAAAAACUGACUCACGAAGAGCGAAGACUAUGAAAUUUUAUUAAAAACAUUUGUUUCUUUUUAAUUGUGUUUUGUAAUUUGUUAAGACUUUAUUUUAGUAUGUAAUAGUUAAUUAGGCAUUUAGACUUGUUAGAGGGCUAGACUUUAUUUGGUUUUCCUGAAAACUUUAAGUUUGAAAAUCAUGUUUGAAAACAUAGGUAAAAAAAAAAAAAUUAAAAAAAAAUCAGGUUAUACUAACUGUUAAGUAGUCAAAAACUUAUAAUCAGGCUAAAAAAAAUCAGGUUAUUUAGG